GUUGCUGUACCAACUAAUAUUAAAUUCGAACGAGCCCUGGAGGAGCUUGCCUCUGCUGUCGAGCUGUGAGAGAAAGCCUGAUGUGGUGACUGAGAAUCGAGUUACCAACUCAUUUAAAAACUCUUAAAGAUCAGAACAAAGUUCUCGAGGCAAUGCUGGUAGUUGCGACAAAGAUGAUUUCAUCUCCAGGCAAGACAAGAGGAAAUUUCGGCUUUAUGCGCCUAGUGUUGGAGUCUCUAAACCCCUCCAUCGCUUGGGUUGCGUCAUUGCCACUGGUCCAGCCGUUGACAGACAGCUACGUCCUUAUUCCAGGUUGCUGGUUUACACAGUGAAAAGGUUUCAUAUAACUACUACCACAUCAGAACUCCCAAUUUUUGAAGUCAUCCCUAUCAAUUCUCUCCACAACUCGUUUGGAUGCGAUUGCGUGAAUGUUGGGGACUGGGGAACAAGAAAAAGACGUGUCAGGCAUUAGUCUCAUGCGGCUGUGCCACGUGGCUUGAUUAAGUGCGAGCUUCGCGUGUUAUCAAGCC